rnacentral:rRNA from 2 species
GCUCAGGAUGAACGCUAGCUACAGGCUUAACACAUGCAAGUCGAGGGGUAGCAGGGUAGCAAUACCGCUGACGACCGGCGCACGGGUGAGUAACACGUAUCCAACCUUCCCAUAACUCGGGGAUAGCCUUUCGAAAGAAAGAUUAAUACCCGAUAGUACUUAUAUAAGGCAUCUUAAAUAAGUUAAAGAUUUAUUGGUUAUGGAUGGGGAUGCGUUCCAUUAGAUAGUUGGUGAGGUAACGGCUCACCAAGUCUUCGAUGGAUAGGGGUUCUGAGAGGAAGGUCCCCCACAUUGGUACUGAGACACGGACCAAACUCCUACGGGAGGCAGCAGUGAGGAAUAUUGGUCAAUGGGCGAGAGCCUGAACC